UACUGUGCUGUGAGCCAUUCCCUCUGGUUGAGGCUGAGCAGGAAUCUGGUCCUUGCAGGACAGGAUUUGUGUGGAGGCUAUAGCCAGACAUCAAUGCACUGCCACCAAGGACAGGGACAAACUCCACUUGUUGUGGCUUAAAGAGAAAUCCUGCUUGCAAAUCACUCCAGGAUUAGUUUCAGGGCAGCAGGGAGCUCCCAAAGCCAGGUCCCAGUGCUCCCAGCUGCUCUGCAGCUGCCCAUUGCCAAAUAGUCUGGGCAUCAGAGGGCAGACUGGUAUCUGCUCCAAGCAGUUUCUCAGAAGCACGUGAUGCAGAGUCCACCAGACAGAAAAUCUGGGAGCCUACUCAGAACUAUCUCAUACCUUUGACCUCCACUGUCCUUCUGGGGGGAGGCAGAUUCAUGGUUGCUAUAAACACUUUGGAUGCUGCAUUGGGGCUCCAUAAACUCCUUCUCCAGUGAGAGAAAAACAAUCACAGUAAUACACCUCCAAAAGAAAGAUCCUGAAGGAGUGUGGGACUCCCCAAAACAGAGCAAAACUCAGCCAAGAGGAACUGCUCUCCCAGUCCAGCUAAUUUAUUCACUAGAAGACUCCUAAAGCAUCAUCCAUGACAUCCCCAGAGAAUUGGAGAGAGACAAUUUACAAGGGCCUGGAGUGACAGGACAAGGGGGAAUGGCUGCCCACUGCCAGAGGGCAGGGCUGGAGGGGAUAUGGGAAAGAAUUCUUCCCUCUGAGGGUAGGGAGGCCCUGGCACAGGUUGCCCAGUGAAGAUGUGGCUGCCGUAGAUCUGCAAGUGUCCAAGGCCAGAUUGGGCAGGGCUUGGAGCAACCUGGGACAGUGGAAGGUGUCACUGCCCAUGGCAGGGUGUGGAACAACAUGAGCUUUAAAGUCCUUUCCAACCCAAACCAGUCCAGGACUCUAUGAUAAAUUGUGCUGAGCAUUUCA